rnacentral:rRNA from 1 species
CGGAUAACUGGGGUGAAGUCGUAACAAGGUAGCCGUAUCGGAAGGUGCGGCUGGAUCACCUCCUUUCUAAGG